UACGAAGGGGGCUAGCGUUGUUCGGAAUUACUGGGCGUAAAGAGCGCGCAGGCGGUCGUACAAGUCGCGUGUGAAAGCCCCCGGCUCAACUGGGGAGGGUCACGCGAUACUGUUCGACUCGAAGGCAGGAGAGGGUAGUGGAAUUCCCGGUGUAGUGGUGAAAUGCGUAGAUAUCGGGAGGAACACCAGUGGCGAAGGCGACUACCUGGCCUGUUCUUGACGCUGAGGCGCGAAAGCUAGGGUAGCAAACGGG
rnacentral:rRNA from 1 species